rnacentral:rRNA from 1 species
ACUCCUACGGGAGGCAGCAGUGGGAAUAUUGGACAAUGGGAACCGUAGCAUCAGCCAUGCCGCGCUGUGUGAAGAAGGCCUUCGGGUUGUAAAGCACUUUCAGUGGGGAGGAAAGGUUGAUGGUUAAUACCUAUCAGCUGUGACGUUACCCACAGAAGAAGCACCGGCUAACUCCGUGCCAGCAGCCGCGGUAAUACGGAGGGUGCAAGCGUUAAUCGGAAUUACUGGGCGUAAAGCGUGCGCAGGCGGUCUGUUAAGCGAGAUGUGAAAGCCCGGC